UCCCGCCCACAUGCAAGGUUUAUCGCACCUGCAUUCUUAAUGAAACACGUAUGGCGAACAAAUACAGCAAAUACUCAUGAAAUCAGGAGAGUGUGUCCUACUUUCCGGCGGGCGGCCCCUUGCUGACUGACUGGAGGAUGCCCGUGGACCAGCUGGACCUGCUGGACAAACUGGUUGUGGAGCAGCUGUCGAGCCCUGAGUGGCCAUUGUUGGCUCAGCAGGUGUGACUGUGAAGAUGUUUACAGGACGCCUCUCAUCCUCCCCCUGGGUUGACAAUGACUAAUGCCCAUUGCUACAUGCAGGGAUUAACCAACAGGAUGUGAUGCACAGGCAUGUUGUAAUCAAGGCAUCAGCCACCAGAGGCCACUGUUGCAGGUAGAAAAUGUUAAUUGACUUGUUGAGUGUCCAGGUGGGGCGGUUUGGAUUUUUGUGAGAUUUAGGACAUGGCUUUUAAAAACAAUGCGUCUGUAUGGUUAAAUUCAGUGUUCUGUUGUCCACUUAUUUGUUUGUCCUCAUUAGGGUCACGUGUGAGCAGGAGUCUAUCCCAGCCAUUGGCGGUGUAGUUUCAGCUACACCACCACAUUUUCCUCUUUUUUCUUCUUUUUUUCAAAGUUGCACACCCAAUGGUCUUGUCUCUCUCUUUUCCGUGAUUUUCGUUGACUCUUAAACGUCACACCCGACAAGGGAUGUUUAACUCAUAUUGACUCGCAAUUGGCUUGUUUUGGUUGUGUUACAAUUGUGUAGUGAAAUAAUAAAUGUGAGACUCUUGGCCUGUGAUCCAUCCAUCCAUUUU